rnacentral:rRNA from 1 species
UACGUAGGGGGCAAGCGUUGUCCGGAUUUAUUGGGCGUAAAGAGCGUGUAGGCGGCCACACAGGUCUGCUGUGAAAACUCGAGGCUCAACCUCGAGCUGUCGGUGGAAACCGUGUGGCUAGAGUCCGGAAGAGGAGAGUGGAAUUCCCGGUGUAGCGGUGAAAUGCGCAGAGAUGUGGAGGAACACCAGUGGCGAAGGCGACUUUCUGGGCUGUAACUGACGCUGAGGCAUGAAAAGCGUGGGGAGCAAAACAGG